rnacentral:rRNA from 1 species
GAGAGCUUGCUCAGAUAUGACGAUGGACAUUGCAAAGAGUGGCGAACGGGUGAGUAACACGUGGGAAACCUACCUCUUAGCAGGGGAUAACAUUUGGAAACAGAUGCUAAUACCGUAUAACAAUGACAACCGCAUGGUUGUUAUUUAAAAGAUGGUUCUGCUAUCACUAAGAGAUGGUCCCGCGGUGCAUUAGCUAGUUGGUAAGGUAAUGGCUUACCAAGGCGAUGAUGCAUAGCCGAGUUGAGAGACUGAUCGGCCACAAUGGGACUGAGACACGGCCCAUACUCCUACGGGAGGCAGCAGUAGGGAAUCUUCCACAAUGGGCGAAAGCCUGAUGGAGCAACGCCGCGUGUGUGAUGAAGGGUUUCGGCUCGUAAAACACUGUUGUAAGAGAAGAAUGACAUUGAGAGUAACUGUUCAAUGUGUGACGGUAUCUUACCAGAAAGGAACGGCUAAAUACGUGCCAGCAGCCGCGGUAAUACGUAUGUUCCAAGCGUUAUCCGGAUUUAUUGGGCGUAAAGCGAGCGCAGACGGUUAUUUAAGUCUGAAGUGAAAGCCCUCAGCUCAACUGAGGAAUUGCUUUGGAAACUGGAUGACUUGAGUGCAGUAGAGGAAAGUGGAACUCCAUGUGUAGCGGUGAAAUGCGUAGAUAUAUGGAAGAACACCAGUGGCGAAGGCGGCUUUCUGGACUGUAACUGACGUUGAGGCUCGAAAGUGUGGGUAGCAAACAGGAUUAGAUACCCUGGUAGUCCACACCGUAAACGAUGAGUGCUAGGUGUUUGAGGGUUUCCGCCCUUAAGUGCCGCAGCUAACGCAUUAAGCACUCCGCCUGGGGAGUACGACCGCAAGGUUGAAACUCAAAGGAAUUGACGGGGACCCGCACAAGCGGUGGAGCAUGUGGUUUAAUUCGAAGCAACGCGAAGAACCUUACCAGGUCUUGACAUCCCUUGACAACUCCAGAGAUGGAGCGUUCCCUUCGGGGACAAGGUGACAGGUGGUGCAUGGUUGUCGUCAGCUCGUGUCGUGAGAUGUUGGGUUAAGUCCCGCAACGAGCGCAACCCUUAUUACUAGUUGCCAGCAUUCAGUUGGGCACUCUAGUGAGACUGCCGGUGACAAACCGGAGGAAGGUGGGGAUGACGUCAAAUCAUCAUGCCCCUUAUGACCUGGGCUACACACGUGCUACAAUGGCGUAUACAACGAGUUGCCAACCCGCGAGGGUGAGCUAAUCUCUUAAAGUACGUCUCAGUUCGGAUUGUAGGCUGCAACUCGCCUACAUGAAGUCGGAAUCGCUAGUAAUCGCGGAUCAGC